rnacentral:rRNA from 1 species
GAUGAACGCUGGCGGCGUGCCUAAUACAUGCAAGUCGAGCGAAUGGAUUAAGAGCUUGCUCUUAUGAAGUUAGCGGCGGACGGGUGAGUAACACGUGGGUAACCUGCCCAUAAGACUGGGAUAACUCCGGGAAACCGGGGCUAAUACCGGAUAACAUUUUGAACCGCAUGGUUCGAAAUUGAAAGGCGGCUUCGGCUGUCACUUAUGGAUGGACCCGCGUCGCAUUAGCUAGUUGGUGAGGUAACGGCUCACCAAGGCAACGAUGCGUAGCCGACCUGGGAGGGUGGUCGGCCACACUGGGACUGAGCCAAGGCCCAGACUCCUACGGGAGGCAGCAGUAGGGAAUCUUCCGCAAUGGACGAAAGUCUGACGGAGCAACGCCGCGUGAGUGAUGAAGGCUUUCGGGUCGUAAAACUCUGUUGUUAGGGAAGAACAAGUGCUAGUUGAAUAAGCUGGCACCUUGACGGUACCUAACCAGAAAGCCACGGCUAACUACGUGCCAGCCGCCGCCGUAA